CAGCUUGCUGCUUCGCUGACGAGUGGCGGACGGGUGAGUAAUGUCUGGGAAACUGCCUGAUGGAGGGGGAUAACUACUGGAAACGGUGGCUAAUACCGCAUAACGUCGCAAGACCAAAGAGGGGGACCUUCGGGCCUCUUGCCAUCAGAUGUGCCCAGAUGGGAUUAGCUUGUUGGUGAGGUAACGGCUCACCAAGGCGACGAUCCCUAGCUGGUCUGAGAGGAUGACCAGCCACACUGGAACUGAGACACGGUCCAGACUCCUACGGGAGGCAGCAGUGGGGAAUAUUGCACAAUGGGCGCAAGCCUGAUGCAGCCAUGCCGCGUGUAUGAAGAAGGCCUUCGGGUUGUAAAGUACUUUCAGCGGGGAGGAAGGUGUUGUGGUUAAUAACCGCAGCAAUUGACGUUACCCGCAGAAGAAGCACCGGCUAACUCCGUGCCAGCAGCCGCGGUAAUACGGAGGG
rnacentral:rRNA from 1 species